CACCGGCGGUAUAAGCGGUGCGUGAGCCACGAGGAGGCCGCACUGUUCGCACCGCCGCACAUUACCCAUGAGGACUGGCGGAUACUCUAUGAUAGAUUUUUGUCUGAUUCUUUUCAGAAGAGGAGCAAAAUAAAUUCUGACAACAGGGGAAAGUUAGAAGUGAACCACGUAGCUGGUUCAAAGUCAUUUG